rnacentral:rRNA from 1 species
CCGCCCCGAAUUGUAGUCUAGAAAGGUGCUAUCGGCCGCGUCCGUCGCUUAAGUUCCUUGGAAUAGGAGAGACGGAGAAGGUGAGAUCCCUGUACCGUGGCGGAUCGCGGCCGCACGAUGCGCCCUUGCAGAGUCGGGUUGCUUGGGAUUGCAGCUUGAAUUGGGUGGUAAAUUCCAUCUAAAGCUAAAUAUUGGCUCAUGACCGAUAGCGAACAAGUACCGUGAGGGAAAGAUGCAAAGAACUUUGAAAAGAGAGUUAAAGAGUGCUUGAAAUCGGCGAGAGGAAACCCGUUUGCGCCCGGUUUCGCGUGACAUUUUAUCCGUCUCGAAGCGGUGUACUGUGGAUCGCGGGGUCCUACGCGAUUGUGUGUGCCUCAUAAUCAAUCGGGGUGACUUCGGUGAGCCGAUACAUGAGCACUUGCGAUCUCGUCGGACGGAACGGGCGCAACCGACCCGUCUAGAAACACGGACCAAGGAGUCUGACACGGAUGCGAGUACCUGGGUGGCAAGCCCACGUGCGCAAUGAAAGUGAAGGGCGUGCCCCGCCAACCGACCUUGAUCUUCUGUGAAGGGUUUGAGUCGAGCAUCACUGUCGGGACCCGAAAGAUGGUGAACUAUGCCUGAGGAGGUUGAAGUCUGCCGAAAGGCAGAUGGAGGGCCGUAGCGAUACUGACGUGCAAAUCGUUCGUCGAACUUGGGUAUAGGGGCGAAAGACUAAUCGAACCAUCUAGUAGCUGGUUCCCUCCGAAGUUUCCCUCAGGAUAGCUUGGACGCAAGGGUUUUGU